UCCGCCGGCGUAGCCGUGAACUAGAAUGAUAUUCUCCUUCGUCGGUUCCCAUUCGGUAUCGUUCAGCCAAUCCGGGUGAUUCAUUUUGAACUGCAAAGCGAGCAGAUAAGUGUCAUUAAGACGCCAUGUUAUUAAAUGUGAUGCCGCCGUAACCAGCGGUGAGGAUUAUCGUGGCAGUUGAGUCGGUUACUGGGGCAUUAGCAUCUGGGAGAACAUGUAAAAUACACGCAUUGUACUAGACCAGAUUAUUUUGGAAAUUAAAAAAAAACGCAGAUUCCUCGUGCCACCUUAAAUUUCAAUUUUUUAUAAAUAAAUGAAUCAAUAUGGUAGUGCUUUGUAGGUGAAUCAAAUACGUUUUUUAUUUUCAUCAUAAAUUUCUUUCUGUAACCACAAAACUGAUAUGGAAAUUAUUUGUAAAUAUCACUAGUCUCAUUCGGAAGUACCAGUACCACUCAUCAGUGAUUCUUCCAUAAUUGACAUCAAUAUCACAUGUUUUAAUUAUUGAGAUCCUUUGAACGAUUCUUGCAGGAAUUUAUUCCACAAAUUAUUCACAAAUAUCAUCAGUAAUUCUUCUAGCGUUGACUUCUGGCUAAUUAUAAUUUCUCUUCAGAUUUCUUUAACAAAUUUUCUCCC